rnacentral:rRNA from 1 species
AUUGAACGCUGGCGGCAUGCCUUACACAUGCAAGUCGAACGGCAGCACGGAGCAACCUGGUGGCGAGUGGCGAACGGGUGAGUAAUGCAUCGGAACGUACCUUUCAGUGGGGGAUAACGUAGCGAAAGUUACGCUAAUACCGCAUAUUCUGUGAGCAGGAAAGCAGGGGAUCGCAAGACCUUGCGCUGAUUGAGCGGCCGAUGUCAGAUUAGCUAGUUGGUGAGGUAAAGGCUCACCAAGGCGACGAUCUGUAGCGGGUCUGAGAGGAUGAUCCGCCACACUGGAACUGAGACACGGUCCAGACUCCUACGGGAGGCAGCAGUGGGGAAUUUUGGACAAUGGGGGCAACCCUGAUCCAGCCAUGCCGCGUGAGUGAAGAAGGCCCUCGGGUUGUAAAGCUCUUUCGGCCGGGAAGAAAUCGUAUCAGCUAAUACCUGGUGCGGAUGACGGUACCGGCAUAAGAAGCACCGGCUAACUACGUGCCAGCAGCCGCAGUAACAC